GACGAACGCUGGCGGCGCGCUUAACACGUGCAAGUCGAACGGAAAGGCCUGCUUUCCCUUGUGGAUUGCGGGUACUCGAGUGGCGAACGGGUGAGUAACACGUGAGUGAUCUGCCCCCAACUUGGGUAUAAGCCUGGGAAACUGGGUCUAAUUCCCGAUAGGACUGCAGGGUGGUGCCUGUGGUGGAAAACGAUUUUCUAGUGGUUGGGGAUGAGCUCGCGGCCUAUCAGCUUGUUGGUGGGGUAAUGGCCUACCAAGGCGGCGACGGGUAGCCGGCCUGAGAGGGGGGACGGCCACAUUGGGACUGAGAUACGGCCCAGACUCCUACGGGAGGCAGCAGUGGGGAAUAUUGCACAAUGGGCGGAAGCCUGAUGCAGCGACGCCGCGUGGGGGAUGACGGCCUUCGGGUUGUAAACUCCUUUCGACCGCGAGGAAGCCACCUGGUUGGAAGGGUGGUGACGGUAGUGGUAGAAGAAGCACCGGCUAACUACGUG
rnacentral:rRNA from 1 species